rnacentral:rRNA from 1 species
CGGUAGCAAUACGUCAGUGGCAGACGGGUGAGUAACACGUGGGAACGUACCUUUUGGUUCGGAACAACACAGGGAAACUUGUGCUAAUACCGGAUAAGCCCUUACGGGAAAGAUUUAUCGCCGAAAGAUCGGCCCGCGUCUGAUUAGCUAGUUGGUGAGGUAAUGGCUCACCAAGGCGACGAUCAGUAGCUGGUCUGAGAGGAUGAUCAGCCACAUUGGGACUGAGACACGGCCCAAACUCCUACGGGAGGCAGCAGCC